GAUGAACGCUGACAGAAUGCUUAACACAUGCGAGUCAACUUGAACUUCGGUUUGGGUGGCGGACGGGUGAGUAACGCGUAAAGAACUUGCCUCACAGCUAGGGACAACAUUUGGAAACGAAUGCUAAUACCUGAUAUUAUGAUUAUAUGGCAUCGUAUAAUUAUGAAAGCUAUAUGCGCUGUGAGAGAGCUUUGCGUCCCAUUAGCUAGUUGGAGAGGUAACAGCUCACCAAGGCGAUGAUGGGUAGCCGGCCUGAGAGGGUGAUCGGCCACAAGGGGACUGAGACACGGCCCUUACUCCUACGGGAGGCAGCAGUGGGGAAUAUUGGACAAUGGACCGAGAGUCUGAUCCAGCAAUUCUGUGUGCACGAUGAAGUUUUUCGGAAUGUAAAGUGCUUUCAGUUGGGAAGAAAAAAAUGACGGUACCAACAGAAGAAGUGACGGCUAAAUACGUG
rnacentral:rRNA from 1 species